CGAAGAAAAAAUGCUGAUUUCCUUAUCUAACUGAAAUUCUUAUGGAAGCAAAUCUUGGAAAGUAUUUUAAAAUCCUAUGGCCAUCCCUAAGAAUUCACCAUGCAUUCCAAUACAUUCCUAAGGGUUUUGAGAGCAUAGGAGGCAAGAAAUGCGAAGAAUGACAUGAAGACGCGAAGAUUCCAUUCAUUGAUUGAUUGGGUGAUGUCAUUUCUUCAAUAUUUUUUUUCUUAUCUUAUUUCUACCAUGCUAGUCUAGAUUUUUUAUGGCCAAGAGAAUGAUGAGCCAUGUAGUAUGAGUUUUUAAUCUUGAGUUUUACAUAUUUGACAUUAAAGACACAUUUUUGAGUAUUGAAUAGUUUAUAUGAAUUUAUUUUCUUCAUUAUUAUUGUGCACGGUAAUUAUGUAAAUAUGAUGACUUAUUUUAUGCAUUCGAAAGAAGGAAAAUAAACUCGACAUGAUAUAAAUCGUCAUAGGGUCUGAUAGGGAAUAAAAUACACCACUAUGCUCUAUGUGAAUCUUUAAAUGUUCAUAAAAAUUCAUGCAUUCUUGUAUGUUCGCAUCCGUCAUAGAAAUAUGGUAGGAUUAUAUAUGAGAAUAAGUUUAACAUUAUUCGAGAAAGAUUGUUAAAUAUAAAAGAAACAUUGAUUUUUCAAUAUUCAACCGCGUUAUCAAAGUAUAAAACUAAGGUCAAAAAUGAUUAUUGCAUAGGGAUUCGCAAUCUUAGUACAUUUGCUAUUCAUUAGAACAUAUCAUAUUGCAUUUAGCGUAAUUCUGUAUUUAACUUAGUUAAUUCACUCAUAAUUACAUACGUAGUUUAUUUUAGUAUAAUUUCAUCACAAUAAACACAUUCUCAUCAUUCUUGUUUCGGAUAAGGUCAAUCCUUGUGGGACGAUCAUUGGACUCACAAUCCACUUUAUUACUUGUCAACGAAAAAAACACUUGCGGUGAUUUUACUUCAAAAUAUAUUUUUGUGAACACCCUUCUCACUAUGGUGUUAUUUUUACAUCCUCAGCAAAUGCUGGCAUCAUUGAUGAAUACAUUGAAAAGAGCAAGGCCAACAAGGUAGGUUUCAUUUUCUAUUGAUCACAAAAAAUUAAAAGUGAAAUUGCACUCUUUUUCAAUAGUAAAAUUUAGUCUUCAUCCUUUCUUUAUAUUUGCACGUGUAAUCCAUUACAUUGAAGUUGGUCAAGUACCUUUAACUUGGGUUGGAUUCUGUUAGUUGACUAGGAUUGAUGCUUAGAAAUUUAUGUUGAGACACGAGAGGUCACAAGACAAUUUAAUUUAAAUUUAUACUACUUUAGAUAUAAUAAAAUAUUGAGGUCCCUAACUUGCUCUUUUCUAAAAGUUAGAAACCAACCAAACACAUUUUCUAUAACCUAAUAUGCAAUUUUAAUAUUUCAAACUAAAUGAAAUCGAACUAUAUAAUACACCUUGGGCUGCUCAUCAAGGUGGACCGAACGUUAUUAAAAGAAAAAAAAUAGAAGUUAAAAUCUUAUUUUACUGUCACUAUAAUCGAAUUAUAUUAAACGAAGACAAACAUUUAUUAUUAUGCUUUUGCACUAGAUUUUGGCUUGGGGUAUAAAAAUUUUUAGUUUCUUAAAACUUUGUUAGUUGAAUAGGAAUUGAAUGACAAGAAGAGGCUGGCCACAAGUGGUGCAAACUUUGCCCGAGCUUUUACAGUUCAAUUUGGUACAUGCAAAUUCCCUGAAAACUUCACUGGCUGCCAAGCAGAAGUUUGCCUCACGUAGGAUAUCUAUAUUACUUCAAUUUUAUUGGAGCGCACGUAGAGGUGUCAAAAUGUGCUUCUCACUAUCUUAGCUCGUGAAAAGCAUUAACCGUAUCCUAAGCUUGCUACGAGUAGAUAUGUCAAAAUGUGUUGGGACGAGAGGUGUCAAAAUUUGCGGGGCUAUUUAGGCUCUCCUUCCUUUCUUAUUUGGAGGAUGAGAAAAUGUAUAUUUUAGAGUCAAAAUAUGUUGGAUUGUCUAGGCUUAGCUCAAGCAAUAUCCAAAGACUCUCAUGCCUUUCUUGAUUAGACCAAUCUUUUAUCCUAUAGAAUUAGCGAUGCCGACAAUAUGUAUACCCCUUAAUGUUAGCUUUGGAAUUUAUUGUAUUAAUAAUUUUCUUGCUCUAAUUUACUGCAGAAAGUACCAUUUAUUUUAGAUGACUUGGAGUUGGAGUGCAAAGGGAAGGACAAAUACAAGUGUGAAAUGGUGAAAUGUUGUAUUAUUGUUCACCUCAAAUAACUACAUUUUCUCAAAACUGAAACUUGAAUUCUCUUAAUUCUUCAUUUUUCAUUUUAGAAUAUGUAAUAUAUUUUCUCAUUAUAACAUGGA
rnacentral:lncRNA from 1 species